CGGCUUCUUCAAAAGGGUCUGCAGCUGCCCUGCGGGGAGGCCUGUUCAGAGCCUCUGGGGUUGUUGGAAAGUGGAGGGAGGAGGGGAGCGGGUGGGGAGGAGACCUGGAGAGCUGCCACCCGAGUGAGGCCGGUGACAGGAAGAAUCUAUCCAUCUUGCGUGCAGCGCCAAAUAUGGUGCUGGGGCUCAGUCGGUAAUAAACAAUGGUCACAUAGCUGGCUCGACAAGGAGAGACAUGACAGGGGAGCGAAGGGAAGGCCUGACGUCACCUUGUGAGGUCCCGGCUGAGCAGGCCGGCUCACCCCAGGGUGCUGGAAUCCCAUAUUUGUCCUUGUUGAGCCCACAUGUGCUUUGUUCUUGACAGAUUGUGCCCAAAGCGAGAAGGGGGAAACUGAGGCCACGGAGCAUGUUGAAAUGGGUUCUUGGCACUGCCCCCUGGGCCAGUAGACUUUCCGAGGGCCUGGUAUGGAUUGAGCCCCUGUGUCUUGCAGUCUCCGCUCACUUUUGGCAGCAGCAGCCAGGCUCUCAGUGACAAUGAGAGCGAACGUUAUUGCUGGAAAUACAGUAAGUCCUCUACACACGAACCUUCAAAGUUGCGAACUUUCAAAGAUUCGAACCUACGUUCGCGUGUCCAAUCACGCCCAGGAUGUCUGGAAGCAAGCGUAAAAGCAGCGGUGAUGUAGCUGGUACUGCUAAGAAGGGCCAGCUGUUGUCCUGUACUACUGUACUUUUCAAGUUGUGAGAUGUAUCUGGAGCUUGUGUCUUAUAUGACCACAGAGAGGAAUAGCUGAUGAAGGAGGUAAGAUCACGCUGUGGUGAGAAGAACACAGGAUUUUGAGCCAGAAAGACCUGCCUUUGCAUCCCAGCUGUUCACACCUGUGAACCCUUUGAGUGUCCAACCUACACACCAAGCUUACAUUUAUCCAUAAAACAGUGCGAUCUCUCCCACUUUGCAGGGUUUGCAUGAGAGCCAGAAAUAGCC